UACGGGGGGGGCAAGCGUUGUUCGGAAUUACUGGGCGUAAAGGGCUCGUAGGCGGCCAACUAAGUCGGACGUGAAAUCCCCAGGCUCAACCUGGGAACUGCGUCCGAUACUGGAUGGCUUGAAUCCGGGAGAGGGAUGCAGAAUUCCAGGUGUAGCGGUGAAAUGCGUAGAUAUCUGGAGGAACAUCGAUGGCGAAAGCAACCGCCUGGGCCUGAACUGACACUGAGACACGAAAGCGUGGGGAGCAAACAGG
rnacentral:rRNA from 1 species